CAGCCGCCGCGGGAAUACGUAGGUGGCAAGCGUUGUCCGGAAUUAUUGGGCGCAAAGGGCUCGCAGGCGGUUUCUUAAGUCUGAUGUGAAAGCCCCCGGCUCAACCGGGGAGGGUCAUUGGAAACUGGGAAACUUGAGUGCAGAAGAGGAGAGUGAAAUUCCACGUGUGGCGGUGAAAUGCGUAGAGAUGUGGAGGAACACCAGUGGCGAAGGCGACUCUCUGGUCUGUAACUGACGCUGAGGAGCGAAAGCGUGGGGAGCGAACAGGAUUAGAUACCCGUGUAGUCCCUGUCUCUUAUAC
rnacentral:rRNA from 1 species